GGCUGGCCUCAGAAGUUCCUGCCCCUGGGUAAAUUCUUUCAUAAGAUUUAGUAACCAGAUGGAGUUGUAAAUGAGUUUUGUAAUCUUUUGGCCUUUCACGAUGCACUCUCCUACGCAUUUGAUCUUCAGAAAAUCUUCAAGCAAUCGAUCAAUACAAUAGGUGGCACAUGGUGUCCAGAAUAAAUUGUUUCUCUUCUCUUGAAGCAUCUUUCCAGCAGCCUUAAAACUGGGAGUAUUCUCAGUGAUUACCUGCACUACAUUUUCCUCACCCAUGUCUUCCACUACUUUGUCCAAUAGCUUAAA
rnacentral:misc_RNA from 1 species